GGCAUAAUUGUUUGUACUUUGUGCUAACAUGGCAUUUUCCCAUUGUUGCACCUAUUGUUUUAGGGUUUAGACGUUGUUCGUCAGCGAUGUUCAUAUCUUCAUUUCCUCUGCACUCAUUAUGAAGCUCUUGGCCCCUCCAUCUCCUGGGCGGAGUGAAUUUUGGGGUGAACUUUUCCCGUUACUACUGUACCACCACCUGUAACAGAACGUCUCACGACGAAGGAGACGACCGCGACGGUGCUGACUUUGCCGGACCUUUGCAUUCUCGUCAGCGAUUGAACACCGCCGUCUGACCGGAACCGUUCCUCAAAUCUCCAUCGACGCCGCUCUCUCCUUCGGCUGCCUCGCCGCUGCUCCGGCGAUCUCCAAUCUCUUCCAGGUCCACCUAAAAUUAAGUUUAAGGUAUGGUUUGAUUUCUGAAUAUUUGUAUAUAUGCAUAUUCUUCAAGCGGUUGGUAUCGAUGUGCUAAGAGAGACGCUGGAGACUGCAGAGGAAUCAUGAGCUAUGAAGAAGAGAAAAAGAGCCCCUUUUUGUGGAGCAGAGAAGGAUUCGAUUCGAUUGAUCAGAAGUCAAUAAAGUUAAGCCAAUGAGCAGUUUUAAACAAGUAAUCCCAAAUACUAUGGUUUCUGUUACUUAUGAUUCUUAUAUUGUGAGAAUCAUGUAUAUGGUAUGAGUAGGACUUAAGCUCUGAUGGUGGGUUUUAAUUACUUAAAUUACACGCAAGACAUAUCACUUAAUCUUUUUGCUAUACACCCUUUUUUUCUCCACAUUUAAUUACAACUAAGUAACAAACCAUGGUCAAGGCCGGCCCUGAGCAUGGGUGGGGUGGGCGCCGGCGUGAACCCAUAAAUAUAAUUAGAGGUGAAUCCAUAUACAAGAAAUAGUUAUAAUGCAAUGAAAAGGUCUCUUUCAUCCAAAUGGUACCCGGUUCAAGUGUCUUCUCUAUCAUUUUUAUGGCCCCUUGGCCCCCUUCUCUGGGUAUUUUUUGUCCAGUUGACAUGGUUUUUUUAAGGCCCCUUCCCUGGGUAUUUUUGUCCUGUUUGAGUGCCUUCAGUUGACAUGCUUGAGAAGUCUCAAGAUAUUAAAUGUCAAUAUUAAUUCUAACCCCUUUACCUAAUAAAAGCUUAUAAAUUAACCCUUUAAGUUUAGUUUGAGUUUUAUAAGAUUAUUAAUUAACAUUUAACCCUUUAAGUCCAGUUUGAAUUUUAAACUACACUUAUGCAUUAGUUGUAACUAAUUAAAUUAGAUAAAUUAAUAAUAUGUUAUGUUGUAUAAAUCAAGUUAUUUAUCAGUGAUUUUUUUUAUUUUCUGAUUAUCAUUGCUUUUAGUUCAUAAUUGCAAUUUUAGGCCAACUAAAGAAUUGUACAAGUUCAAACAAGAUUGUAUUCGUAAAAGCAGAUAAGUGUGAAUUAAAAGGCUAUGUCGGCACCAACCAUAGCUCAGUCGGUUGCCGACUCGCCUUCUAAAGUUCAGGUGUUGGGUUCAAGUGUAUGUGUUUGGCUUUUUUUGUUUAGCCGGCUUACUCUAUUUCUCGCAAUUUCUUUAUUUGCUGCAAAAAGCUGGGUAGGGCCCGUUAAUAUUAUCUCGCCCAGGGCCUAAUUUUUUUAAGCAUUGUCGGAGAUGGCCCUGACCAUGGUUCAUGCUGAAAUGCAAUAAUAACACUUAAAAUCUUAAUAAAUAAGCAUUUUCUUAAAAAAGGGUCCAAAAUAUUGUGUUAAUCUCUGAAUCUAUGUUUUCGCACUUUGUUCCAGCUCACGUGAUGUUACAAACGUUAAUGUUUCUUUUGGCAUUUUUAUUAUUUUAUAGUUUUACGAGAUGACUACUUUCUUUAAGCAAAAUGAUUUUGAAGGUUUUAUGCAUUAUAUACAUUGAACGACCCAUUUCCUGUUUAGUGUUCAUGUGCCACCUUACGCCUGUUUGUAGCAAAUUGAUUUCUAAGGCUGCAAUGGUGCAGCUAUGUUCUCUUUAUUCUAUUGGUUCAUGUGUGUGAGGAGUUAUGCUAAUACAUUUCAGCAGCCCUUACAUCUUUGUCUGGAAAUUUGAUAAAGAUUCAAAAUGGUUAUGCCAGUACAGCAACAUUUUGUAUGAAUUAAGCGGAUGUAAAACUCAAUUAGUCAACCCAGGGCCGGCCCUGAGAAUUCAUGUACCCUGUUCGAGCUCAAAAAAACGUGCCCUUAGGUCUUAACUAAAUAAAAAAUUUAAACUAGUUUUUCAUACAACGUUGAACCGAAUGAAAGCGUUGCCGCCCAGAAUUCAUUUGUUUAUUAGUUUUUAGAAAAUAUUUGGGUAUUGGGCUCACUAACCUAAUGGGCUAAAUAGUUUAAACAAUAUGAUUUUUUUAAGUGGGCCUAUGUUAAUAUUUUUUUGUUUAUACCCUAUUAAAAAAAAUUUACAUAUAUAAUAUCGGAUUUUUUUUUUAAAUUACGUGCCCUACGAAAUCACGGGCCCUGUUCGGUUGUCCUCCCCGCCCUCCUUCAGGGCCGGCUCUGAGUCAACCUGUUCGUUUACACCAACUCCUACAGCAAGGUGCAGGGUCUUCAUGUCAGUUAUUUUGUAAUAUCUUAAAUUAAAGGUUGGCUUGAAGCUGAUUGAAGUCUUACGAGUUUCAGCAAUUUUUCUUUAACUCUCCGAACUGCAUUUUGUUGGCGGCUUAUUAUUUAAAAUCAUGUAAGAGUAAAACCAUAUAAGGGAAGUUAAUAUUUGUCUUUGUAAAAGGGGUUUAGGUGAUUGAGAAGUUGUAGGUAGGUAUGGAGGGAAAUCAAGCAGAGGACAGAACAAGACAGGCGUGCACAUGGCUGCAAAUGUUGCCGAACUGGUGGCCUUGGUUCGAUUUUUAAUCUUGGUUGUCGUUCACAACCGGAUUAUUUAAGUUUUUACGCCGCCGCAACGCGCGACGGGUAUAAAUUCUAGUUUAUUAUAAUAAACAUACGUAUUUUCAUGUAUCUACCGGUAAAUAGAAUAGUUUACGUUUUUAUA